rnacentral:rRNA from 1 species
GUCGAGGAUCUUCGGCAAUGGGCGCAAGCCUGACCGAGCGACGCCGCGUGUGCGAUGAAGGCCUUCGGGUUGUAAAGCACUGUCGAGGGGGAGAAAGGUCCGCAAGGGCUUGAUCUAUCCCUGGAGGAAGCACGGGCUAAGUUCGUGCCAGCAGCCGCGGUAAGACGAACCGUGCGAACGUUGUUCGGAAUCACUGGGCUUAAAGGGCGCGUAGGCGGGUCUUCAAGUCAAGGGUGAAAGCCUCCGGCUUAACCGGAGAAGGGCUUUUGAUACUGGAGACCUCGAGGGGUGCAGGGGCAUGUGGAACUUCCGGUGGAGCGGUGAAAUGCGUAGAUAUCGGAAGGAACGCCGGUGGCGAAAGCGACGUGCUGGACACCUUCUGACGCUGAGGCGCGAAAGCCAGGGGAGCAAACGGGAUUAGAUACCCUGGUAGUCC